rnacentral:rRNA from 1 species
GGAUGAACGCUAGCGGCAGGCUUAAUACAUGCAAGUCGAGGGGCAGCGGGGGUAGCAAUACCUGCCGGCGACCGGCAAACGGGUGCGGAACACGUACACAACCUUCCUAUAAGUGGGGGAUAGCCCAGAGAAAUUUGGAUUAAUACCCCGUAAUAUUAUUUAGUGGCAUCAUUAGAUAAUUAAAGCUCCGGCGCUUAUUGAUGGGUGUGCGUCUGAUUAGGUAGUUGGUGAGGGUAACGGCCCACCAAGCCUUCGAUCAGUAACUGGUGUGAGAGCACGACCAGUCACACGGGCACUGAGACACGGGCCCGACUCCUACGGGAGGCAGCAGUGGGGAAUUUUGGACAAUGGGGAAACCCUGAUCCAGCCAUGCCGCGUGAGUGAAGAAGGCCUGGUUGUAAG